rnacentral:rRNA from 1 species
GCACAAGCGGUGGAGCAUGUGGUUUAAUUCGAUGCAACGCGAAGAACCUUACCUGGGCUUGACAUCCCGGGAAUCCCUUGGAAACAAGGGAGUGCCCUUCGGGGAACCUGGAGACAGGUGCUGCAUGGCUGUCGUCAGCUCGUGUCGUGAGAUGUUGGGUUAAGUCCCGCAACGAGCGCAACCCUUGUCAUUAGUUGCUACAUUCAGUUGGGCACUCUAAUGAGACUGCCGGUGACAAGCCGGAGGAAGGUGGGGAUGACGUCAAGUCCUCAUGGCCCUUAUAGGUGGGGCUACACACGUCAUACAAUGGCUGGUACAAAGGGUUGCCAACCCGCGAGGGGGAGCCAAUCCCAUAAAGCCAGUCGUAGUCCGGAUCGUAGUCUGCAACUCGACUACGUGAAGUCGGAAUCGCUAGUAAUCGUGGAUCAGAAUGUCACGGUGAAUACGUUCCCGGGUCUU